UACGUAGGUGGCAAGCGUUGUCCGGAUUUAUUGGGUUUAAAGGGUGCGUAGGCGGUCCUUUAAGUCAGUGCUGAAAUACUCCAGCUUAACUGGAGGGGUGGCAUUGAUACUGGGGGACUUGAAUGAAGUCGAGGUAGGCGGAAUUGACGGUGUAGCGGUGAAAUGCUUAGAUAUCGUCAAGAACACCGAUAGUGAAGACAGCUUACUAGGCUUAGAUUGACGCUGAGGCACGAAAGCGUGGGGAGCAAACAGG
rnacentral:rRNA from 1 species